CCCGCUGAACUUAAGCAUAUCAAUAAGCGGAGGAAAAGAAACCAACCGGGAUUGCCUCAGUAACGGCGAGUGAAGUGGCAAGAGCUCAAAUUUGAAAUCUGGCCCUCUGGCAGGGCUCGAGUUGUAAUUUGGAGAGGAUGCUUCGGGCUUCGUCCCGGCGUAAGUGCCCUGGAACGGGUCGUCAGAGAGGGUGAGAAUCCCGUCUGCGGCCGGUGGCGAUGCCUGUGUGAAGCUCCUUCGACGAGUCGAGUUGUUUGGGAAUGCAGCUCUAAGUGGGUGGUAAAUUCCAUCUAAAGCUAAAUAUGGGCCGGAGACCGAUAGCGCACAAGUAGAGUGAUCGAAAGAUGAAAAGCACUUUGAAAAGAGAGUCAAAUAGUACGUGAAAUUGUUGAAAGGGAAGCGCUUGCGAUCAGACUCACCGGGGGGGGCUCAGCCGGCACGUGUGUCGGUGCAUUUCUGCCCCGGUGGGCCAGUGUCGGUCCGGGUGGCCUGUCAAAGACCCUUGGAAGGUAGCGCCCCUUUGGGGCGCCUUAUAGCCAAGGGUGCCAUGGGGUCAGCCCGGACCGAGGACCGCGCUUCGGCUUGGAUGCUGGCGUAAUGGUCGCAAGCGGCCCGUCUUGAAACACGG
rnacentral:rRNA from 1 species